UUUGUCUUUUAAUUGAAGACUUGUAUAAACGAGUUGACGAGGAGAAAGCUGUCUCCUUUGGAAACCCUAAAUUUACCUUUAAGGUUAAAAGGCCUUAACAACCCAAAGGGACGACAAGACCCUAAAAACUUUAUCUCUUUUAAAAAACCAAGAACCAAAACACAAGGGAUUCCACUGGGGCGGUAAAUUAUAACAAAAUUUAUUUUUACACCUUGGGUGAAAUAAAAAUACAUGAAUUCAUAUAAGAACUAGUUACUUUAGGGAUAACAGCGCAAUUUCUCCAGAGAGUUCUUAUCGGCGGAGAAGAUUACGACCUCGAUGUUGAAUUGAAAAUCCUUUUGUAGAGCAGAAGCACGAAAAGGAGGUCUGUUCGACCUUUAAAAUUUCACAUGA
rnacentral:rRNA from 1 species